AACGGCGAGUGAAGCGGCAAUAGCUCAAAUUUGAAAUCUGGCUUCGGUCCGAAUUGUAAUUUGUAGAGGAUGCUUCGGCUUCGGCUUGGGUCUAAGUUCCUUGGAACAGGACGUCACAGAGGGUGAGAAUCCCGUACGUGGCCCUUGCCCCCGCCAUGUGAAGCUCCUUCGACGAGUCGAGUUGUUUGGGAAUGCAGCUCUAAAUGGGAGGUAAAUUUCUUCUAAAGCUAAAUAUUGGCCAGAGACCGAUAGCGCACAAGUAGAGUGAUCGAAAGAUGAAAAGCACUUUGGAAAGAGAGUUAAAAAGUACGUGAAAUUGUUGAAAGGGAAGCGCUUGCAAUCAGACUUGCCCGCGGUUGCUCAGCCGGUCUUCUGACCGGUGCACUCUUCCGCGGUCAGGCCAGCAUCAGUUUGGGCGGUCGGAUAAAGGCUUAGGGAAUGUGGCUCCCCUCGGGGAGUGUUAUAGCCCUUUGUGUAAUGCGGCCCGCCUGGACUGAGGUCCGCGCUUCGGCUAGGAUGCUGGCGUAAUGGUUGUAAGCGGCCCGUCUUGAAACACGGACCAAGGAGUCUAACAUCUAUGCGAGUGUUUGGGUGUCAAACCCGUGCGCGAAAUGAAAGUGAACGGAGGUGGGAACCUUAGGGUGCACCAUCGACCGAUCCUGAUGUCUUCGGAUGGAUUUGAGUAUGAGCAUAGCUGUUGGGACCCGAAAGAUGGUGAACUAUGCCUGAAUAGGGUGAAGCCAGAGGAAACUCUGGUGGAGGCUCGCAGCGGUUCUGACGUGCAAAUCGAUCGUCAAAUUUGGGUAUAGGGGCGAAAGACUAAUCGA
rnacentral:rRNA from 1 species